GACGAACGCUGGCGGCGUGCUUAACGCAUGCAAGUCGAACGAUGAAGUUCGGACGGAGGCUUCGGCCAACUGAAGAACGGAUUAGUGGCGGACGGGUGAGUAACGCGUGAGUAACCUGCCUUUCAGAGGGGAAUAACAUUUGGAAACGAAUGGUAAUACCGCAUAAAGUCACGGAACCGCAUGAUUCCGUGACCAAAGGAGCAAUCCGCUGAAAGAUGGACGCGCGUCCGAUUAGCUAGUUGGAGAGGGAACGGCUCCCCAAGGCGACGAUCGGGAGCCGGACUGAGAGGUUGAACGGCGCCAUUGGGACUGAGUCAAGGCCCAGGCUCCUACGGGAGGCAGCAGUGGGGAAUAUUGCACAAUGGGGGAAACCCUGAUGCAGCAACGCCUCGUGAAGGAAGACGGUCUUCGGAUUGUAAACUUUUGUUCUUAGUGAAGAAAAAUGACGGUAGCUAAGGAGAAAGCCACGGCUAACUACGUGCCAGCCGCCGCAGUAAGAC
rnacentral:rRNA from 1 species